ensembl:lncRNA
UUUUUCUUUUUUUUUCUUUUUUUUUUUGUGCUCUACAGGAGUCUUAGGUGCAAAAGAUUAGUAAUAGACACAUUUAUUGCAGGAAGAUUAUAAGCGUUCUCACUGGUUAGAAUAGGUAAUAAAAAAAAUUUAAUCUAGCCUUCCAACCUACAGCUGCUGAGACACCUUAUUCCCAGGCAGGGCACUCAUGUUCCUUCCCUCCCAUCCUUCUCAUAACACACUCCAAAUGCUCCUCACACCAUGCUUUUCUGCAUAGCUCUCUUCAUAGCUGAUGCCAGCUGCCUAUCCUUGGUGGAGACCCUCUACCCUUCUGCCCCAUGGCAGCACCCCAGGAGGAGAGGGGUAACCCCAGUGGUCUGGAGCUACAGAGCUUGUCUGCAUUGCUGGGAUCUGCAAAGGCUCAUGCAAAGGCUCAUGCAGCCACCACCUUUAGCCAGUUCAGAGCAGGAGAAGCUUCACCAGCACCAGUCCCUGUUCUCCAGCUUGUUUGGUCUCCCUGAGUUCUGGGACUUGUUAAUGGAAACCGUCACUUGUGGGAGGUGACUCUCCCAACUCUGUGUGUCUGCUUGCAGGUCUCCUCAGAUAGAUGAGUCUCCUUGUGGUGCUUUUUUGUCCACUAUAUCUAAAACAGCUCACUUGAACUCCUGCCUUCCCCUGUUAGCAUGACAAGUGACUCUCCACCAGCCAGCUAUAAAGGGAAGAAGAUUCAAGUGUCUAUUUCGGGUCAGAUAACCUAUUAUAGCACUCUAUGGCUCCUCCAUUAGACUUGAUGGUCCUUGUGGGUAUCUUCCAACUCAAGAUAUUUUACGAUUCUCUGUCAACUGGAUGGUUGGUUUUUACAUAGUUGUACUUAGGUAUGAUCAGGUCAUCUUUCAGAGGAGCCAAAGCCCAUCUUUUGCUGCAAUAUUUUAUUUUGCAAGAACGUCUCCUACUUGCUUCCUCAAAACUUUUCUGAUAACAAAAGAGAUUAAAAUGUAGGCAAAAUCCAUUUUCCAUCUAUCUGAAAAUAGUGACAGUAUCAUACAAACAGGUGCAACAUAAAUUGAUCACUAGGUAAAUUCUUGGUGAAUGUCAUGAUGUGUUUUUCAUAUUACAGGCAGGCCUUGUGGUUGCAUUUGCCUUCCGACUCUUUCUGUGAAAGGAAGGCAACGUCAGUGAUAUUUGGGCUUUUCCCACAGUCUUACACAGCUCCAGUUUUUGUUUUAAGCAGCAAAGCCACCCUGAUCUUGUUGGUACAGUUGUCAGCAGUUAGCACACCAUCUACUCAGAAAGCUGCACACACAGGCUUUUGUAACGGGGUUGGACUAGAUGACCUUUAAAGGUUCUUUCCAUCCCAAACCAGUCUGCGAUUUUAUGGUUACACAGAUAAAUAUGCAAAAAUACAAACACCACUGUAAACAUGCACGCUGGGGCCGCAUACACAAGAACCUACUGAGCUGCACUGGACUUGGGAACAUGGUUGGUGGCAGAAGUGGCAGUCCCCUCUGACAGCUCCUGCUUAAGGCUGGCUUGAAAAUUCCAGGCAGUUUUCACAUGCAUUUGGUGCAAUGCACAGCAUGGCAGCUCCUGACCUGCAGCUGCAGCUGUAUAUGAAGAGAUAACAUUUCCCAGUUCUGCUGAUCAGCAACAGUGUGGCCAGCAGGACCAGGGAAGUGAUCAUCCCCCUGUACUCAGUACUGAUGAGACACUGGAGAUCUUAUUGCUGUCUACAACUACCUGAAAAGUCUCUUCUCCCAAACAACCAAGAAAUAGGACAAGAGGGAAUAGCUUCAAGUCACACCAGCAGAGGUUUAGGUUGGAUAUUAGGUGAAAUUUCUUUACUGAGAGGGUGGUCAGCCAUUGGAACAGGCGUCCCAGGGAAGUGGAGGAGUCAUCAUCCUUGGUGGUAUUUAAAAGCUGUGUAGAUGUGGCACUGAGGUUUAGUGUUGGACUUGACAGUCCUGGGAUAACAGCUGGACUCAAUGUUCUAAGUCUUCUCCAACCUGAAUGACACUGGGAUUCUAUCAUUGUGCUGGUGCUGCUAGCUGUCCCACUUGCCAUGUUGCCAGGCUGUGGGCUUUGCUUCACCACUGGUGCCCUGACUCAUUGCCAUGGUGUGCCAAUGCCAUGCCUCGUGGCUUUUUGUGCACCAAAAUCCCAGGUGCACAAACAAACAUUCUGUCAUCAGUGCAUAAGCAUAGGCACAGUGUGUUUGCUUACCAUUUCUCUCUCUCUGUUAUCAUCUAUCCAUCUAUCUAUCUAUCUAUCUAUCUAUCUAUCUAUCUAUCUAUCUAUCCGUCUGUCUGUCUGUCUGUCUUUAACCAUGUUGUAGGUGCUGAGUCCCAUGGAUGCUGAGGCUGUUGAGGGAGGGCAGGGAAGCAGGCUGUGCUUCCCUUCCCAGCCCGCUCGCGGCUUUCUGGCCGUGCACAUCAGAGACUGCGGAGCCUGCUGGAAGCCGGGAUAUCGCAGGUUGCCUUUGAUCUGCUGACAAAGGCCUGGCAUGCAUGCAAUAUUUCUGCCACAGUAACCACGGCUGCUUCCUUACACCACUACAACCCUCUAGUGGAAACUUGGCCCCAUCGGCACGCUGGUGCUGCUGGCUGUGGCAUGAGCUGUUCCCUCAAGGUUUGAAGCCUGGCAGCAGUGCAAAAGCAUCCACAUUUUUGAACAGGUGUAUUGUUACUACUGAAUGCUGUUUUUUAUUAUUCUUUUAAAUAGGAGGCCCAGUCCUAAAGCAGGACCCCUCCCCUACCCGUGCCAAAGCAAGCAGUCCUGCUUAGCACAGGAUCUGAGCAAGCAGGUAAAGUCCAAGUGAAAUAAGAAUUUUGUGUGCACCAGCCACAAGGAUUUCCUGCAGUAGUUCCUAUAUUCCUCGUUUCCCAGAGCUUGAAAAAUCAUAAUGUGCAGUAUCAGCUUGCUCUAAGUCACACCUCUGCCAGGUGAGGUUUCCAAAUGUGUCUCUGAGGACUGGGAAAGCAAUUCUGCUGGCACAGAGAAAAGACUGGCCCUGGACUCCUCCUUCAACUCUCACCUGCUCUGAGGUUACUUUCUUCUAGCAGAGUAGCAGGUUUAAUAUUCACAGAAAGCUUUCCAACACCCUGUUGGGAUGGCAUACUGCAAGGCACUGAGCACUGGCCCUAGGCAUUGGUGUGACACUUGCAGAUGGCACUGGGAGCAAGACUAGGCCAUGCUUGGAAAUAGUCCACCCAUAAUAAGAGAACAGAGAGUAAAAACUGAGAAUAGUGGUAAAAUCAUUCAUUGUGUGAUUUUAAGUUGGUCUCAUGUUCCUGCUGGAGUGAGCAGGAUGAGCAUUCCCAUGAAAAAGCCCCUUUUUGAGGGGCUCUGCAGAGCCCAGCAGAGCCUACCAGCACCCUUGCAGAGAACAUGCUGACUCCUGGGAGAGGGAAGGAUGUUGUACACUAUGAUAUUCCUUUGGAGCACGUGGGGGACAGACACAACCUUCACAAUCCCUUUGGGUAAAGAAGACUGUUAUCCCUGGAGCUGCCAGGGAGCAUGCAGGACACCUCAGCCGUGGUUCCUAUCAAGGCAGUUCAAUGCCUCAGGGGUGAGGGUGGAGAAUCAGCCAUUGCAUUGAUGACUGGCUGCAGUGGAGCAAAAGGUGCUCUUAGCAACACUGUUGUGAUCCCCAUGUCCCAUGAGAGAGGAGGGAUGAACUGUGCCUCUCAUUGCACCUGCCCUGGCAGAGGGAGGCUGUGGGCAGCAGAGCAUCAGCUCUGCCCCAUCCUGCCUGCCAGAACAUCUCACUGCUCCCAGCCACUGCAUAGAAACACAGAAGCUGGCAAAAGUGAGAUUCUGCCCCAAAGGACAAACAGCCUUCACAGUGAGAUUUUUUCCCCUUUAGAUGAGAAAUAAAUAACUUUUCAAUUUCAGCUGCAAGGAUCUUCACACUGUGAGAUGAUUUCAUCAGACAGAGGAGUUCCUGGGGCUUGGUGCUGGCUGCCUACUGAGCUGCUCAGAUGCUGUCCUCAUGGAGCUCCUUGCUCAACCUCAGGGGAAGGGAACCAGACACCAAAGGGGCAGAGAAGAAAUGGGAUGUGUUUUCCACCUAAAGAAAUUAAGGUGUGAUGAUGUUGCAGUUAUGGCAGUGCUGUUUCUGCCAUUUGGGAACUGGCAGGGACUUGCCUGUGUGCCAUGACCUCUUGCAAGGCCAGGGGAUGCUUUGGAGCAGCAGGCUGCUGCCUGCUGCGCUGCUGUUUGCCACUACUUGCACAAGCAUACGAUUGAUUUAUUGUUCCUGUGUUUGCCCAAGAGAGUGCCACUGCUGCCUUCAUCCCCAAACAAUAUUUUCUGUCCUUUUGGCACAGGACUUCAGAGGGUGUCAGUCUGAUCCAGCAAGAGACCCUUUGGUCCUCUGGGAUUAAACAGAACAGCAUGGUUUCUCCUGGCCAGCUGCUUCUUGCUAUUCCUUUUGCUGCAGCAAAGGAAUUUCUUUUCAAAAGGCAGUGCCAGCCUUCCCACUGCCCUCAGCAGAUGGGAGGGGAUGAUGGAAGUCCCUGCCAGAAGCUGUGAGACUGCAGUUGUGUGUCCCUGUGCUCUGCCACCACUGUGGGGACCACACACCUUUGCUGGUGGACAGAUUUACCUCCUUCUCUCAGCCCAGGCAGCUUCAGACAUAAAUGAAAGCAGGCAGUCAUUUAUCACAGAUCAAGUUGCAGCUUAGUCCUGAGCUAUGUUUAACAAUACUGAGGUUUCUUGGAGUGUAUAUUGUUCCACUUGCCUUCAGCAGAGGCAUUGCUGAAAAGCAGAAAAUGAUAGUUUUCAUGGCAUGACCCCACUGCUUGGUUCAGCUGUGACCUCAUUCCCCAAAUCUCAUGUUCCCACUCUCCCUGCUCCCUUCAGGCUGCUUCCCAAGCAUUUCCUUCACUCAUUCAUCCCUUUCUGUGCUUGUUGUCCCCUUCAUAUCCCUCCUUAUCGAUGCACCUACUGGCAGAGCCACCUGAUAAGCCAUACAGGGACCUGAUCUGGCUGAAAACAACCUUUUCUCCCCCUUUACUGGCUUUUUUAAAACUACCUCAGCUCCCUGGUCCCCACUGCUGCACGUGUGGACCUUAACAGAGGUCCUUGUGAGGCUCACGGUGUGUCCUUUUCUGCAUGGUGUAAAUGCUGUGUUGAUGUAUCAGUCUUGAGAUGCUCUAUGGGGUUUAGUUGUCCUUCCCCUAGUUCACACCAAGUCACACAGAGUCACCCAGAGGCCAACCCCCCUUGUCUCCCCUCACACUGUCUGUAGGAUUGGCACAGCAUCCCCUGCAGGACAGAAGACAUGACUGAGCUGGGGCUCUUGCCCAGCUUGCAACCUCUGCUGCAGCUCUCUGACAGCACAGACCUUACUCAUACCAUAGCAGUGACACUGCUCACAGGUGUGAAAUAGCAGCAGGAAACUCCGCCCAAGCUUGUUAAAAGCCCUGCUGGUCAUUGCUCAUCCCACCCAUGGCUGGCUUUGUUCCUGGGCUGCUGUAUCUCAGAAGAGUACUUUCAUUUCCCAAACAGGGUCUUUGGUUUGUAAGUUUGUGGGGGCUUUUCUGACUGAAAUAGAAAGAUAUAGCCCUUCUGACAGGGCUGGCAGCAGCAUAGACUUGGCUCAAAUGUAGAGGUUUCUAAUAACACAUUAGUUCCUUGGCAAAAGUCAGCUGAACUUUUCCUGUUCACACACAAUUCACAUGGCCUUGGAAACAGUCUUUUAUAGCAGAACUGAAAACCAGAAAAGGGGACAAACAGUGAUACACUCCUACCUGUUCACAGCCCAACCAUCCCAGUGAGGUGGCCUGAGCCAGCAGGCUGUUGGCUCCCAUGAGGUGACAAGUCCCCAUGCCACCGGAGCCACCAGUCCUCUGUGUGAUUGUGUGCACUUCCCCAAGCCUGACAUUUCUCAGAUGCUGCAAGCCCAGAGCUCAUGGCUUAUCACAUUUGCAUCUCAGUAAUAGCUACCUCCAGUACUUCACUGUAAAAUGUGCUUGGAAGAGGCUGACCUGGUUUCCAAGGUGUUGACUGUCCUGCAUCACCACUCACUCUGUGGUGGGCUGAUUUGGCAUGCUGAAUCGCCCCUUGCCUGUCUUCUCUCCCAGAUCCCCUGUGACAUGUUCUGGUUUUCCCCUGCCCUGUGUGGUCUGAGGAGCUCUCAGAUGCAUACUCAACGUGCUAAUUUGAAACAGCAGGAUCCCACCAGCGCUGUGCUCCUAGCACUCACUGGGCACUGGGUACAUGCUGGGUGUUUGCUUCCCGUGGGAUGCAGAGAUGCUCAGCUGUGGCCAUGGGCCAGACCCACCGACAGCUGUGUGGUGCACAGAGCUGUCCCAGGGAAACCUCCUGCACUGCUGAGUGGGUGUGAGGGGAUCUGGAUGUGUCUCCCAUGUGCUGCCACCAUGCAAAUGAGGAGGGUAAGGAAGGUUGAGUUGUGAGGUUGCACAUCACAUGAAAACAGUGUGGCUUCACACACCACUGAGCACAUUUGAUAUCUUGCAGGCACUGGGAGGAAGUGGCUUAUAACUUUGUGUGCUUAUCCCAACCCUUGCUUUCCUAGUCCUGGUCCCAGUGUCUCAUCCCCACCUCUGCUUCAGCACCAGCACUCAGCAAAUCUCUCCCUGAACCACUCUAUCCCUUCAAAUGGCAGAAGACCUCUCAUUUCUGUGGGUCACACCUGUCUGCAGAAAGAGCCUGAGAGGCUAGAUCUUCUGCUAGGUGGGGAAUUGUGUUCACCUCUGUGCAGCGUGCUCUGCUCAGUGUAGCUGAGGUUGCACUUGAAGAUGCCUGAGUAGUUGUGGUGUUGAACUCGGGAUCAGCACAGGCUUAUCCUGUGCAGGCUCAAAUGCUGCUUUUAAAUACAGCCAGAAUUAAUAGGAGGCCUGGGGAGCAUCAUUCUGUUUGCCUUGUGUUUACACUUAGUCACAGGGAUCUCACUCUCACACACCAUCAGAGGUAGGAUCACGUUGACAAGCAUUUUUUGGGUUGACUCAGUGCAGCUGAUCUUAUGUUAUAAUGAAUUUCUGCUCCCAGACAAUUUUGCAAAGUACACCACGGCUGUCCAGCAAGGCAAGGGGAAGAGAGUGGUGAUGUACGCUGCAAACCAAGGAAGAGACACCCUGCCAAAUUUGUUUCUUUGUCAAACAAUUCAGCAAAUGACUACAGGAUGGUACAAAUGGCUUUUAUUAGUGUAGCAUGAAAAAUUCAACACUGUAAAUGAGAGAAAUAUUAGUCUGCAGGCCCUCAAGACCGUAGCUGGGCAGGGCUUGUUCUCUCCCUCUACCAUCUGAUGACCAUGAGUCACACACAAACCUCGAGCCUGGAUAGUACCAAUCUGCUCCAGGGCUUGCAGUGGAAAAGUAGCCGUCUCCUAACAUUUCCCAGAGGAGGAGACUUCUCUGCUGGCCUGGGGCAUGGCCCAGUUCUUGUGCUGGAGCUCCACACAGCCACAGCUCCACGGCAGUAACAGCAUCGAGGUGGGUGUGAACACUCUCCUGGAGGUUUGGGUGAAGGGGACCUGUCCUGGGACUUGUGGUGAUGGGAGCAGCAGCCCACAAAGUAAAGCACCCCAUUGUCAUCCCCAGUCCACUUGGGGAAGCUCACACAAGCCUGCAGAGCCACACCCCCUGCGUCCUCUGCUCAGCCUCCUUCAGCAAAAAUACAGGCAGGCUUGGGGCAGACACAGGUCAGAUGUGUGCCUCCAGCAGCUGUGAAAGUGUAGCUUGGGACAACAUUGGCAGGAUCCUUAAUGCUUCCUCCUCUCCCUUCUGGGCUGGGAGAACAGAGAGGGCGAUGCAGCAAUGUUUCUUCAGCACAACCUGUGUUGCAGCUCUUUGCUAUAGUGGAGCUGUCCCAAGCCUGAGAAGGCAGCACAUCCCAGGAAGUCUUUGUGUAUGGACGGAUUCUUAACCCCAGUUCAAAUCAGUCUGCACUGGGUUUUGUCAAGUGUCAGUUGGGAAACAUUCCUUAAAAGAUUAAUUCCAAACAUUCAGUGUUUUUUAAUGUUGCUUUGUGGGGUUUUGUAACCCAGAUGGCAAAUUCCAAUUGGCUUUUCCCCAUGUUUGGCUAGUGUAAUAUAUGUAAUAGUGUGAUAGGUUUUACACUAAAAAGAGACUUAACAUUGAUUAUUGGUCCAGUUUCUUAGUCUUUCUCUACAAAACACAGCAGAAGAUUGUGGGAGAUUUGCUUAAGGUAUCCACUGUUGUGGUGCCUCCCCAAGUGUCGGCUAGGCCAGUGUCCUUGGCACGGUGGGCAGCAAAGGCCACUCUCGUGUGCUGCUGCGGGCAGGACCUAUGGCCUGUGGGCUCGAAGCCGCCAGACUGGGAGAGACAUGGAUCGAC